rnacentral:misc_RNA from 1 species
GAUGAAGAACGCAGCGAAAUGCGAUAAGUAAUGUGAAUUGCAGAAUUCAGUGAAUCAUCGAAUCUUUGAACGCACAUUGCGCCCUCUGGUAUUCCGGGGGGCAUGCCUGUACGAGCGUCAUUAUAACCACUCAAGCUCUCGCUUGGUAUUGGGGUUCGCGGUUCCGCGGCCCCUAAAAUCAGUGGCGGUGCCUGUCGGCUCUACGCGUAGUAAUACUCCUCGCGAUUGAGUCCGGUAGGUCUACUUGCCAGCAACCCCCAAUUUUUACAGGUUGACCUCGGAUCAGGUAGGGAUACCCGCUGAACUUAAGCAUAUCAAUAAGCGGAGGA